GGUCCGUUUGUCAAGGGGUUAAGACACCGCCUUUUCACGGCGGUAACACGGGUUCGAAUCCCGUACGGACUA
rnacentral:tRNA from 1 species